AGACAGUUAGCUCAGUGGUAGAGCAUCAGGCAGCGAUGUUUGAAGGUCGUGGGUUCGAAUCCCGCAUCGUCUC
rnacentral:tRNA from 1 species